GAAGAAAAUACUCAUUAAAUUCUUAGUGGUUAUAAUUUAGUAUGUCAAAGAUUCAGAGGCAAGAAAAGACCUCAUAGGAAAGUUUUAAAUUGAAAGGAAUGUUAUUUUACUGGAACCUGAAAGCUGCCUUUGGGAUUUUAUUUGUAUAUUUUGAUUUCAAGCCACAUAAAAUAACUAUAAGCCACAUUGGAUUUGCUGAAUGCUUCAAAAGAUUUGUAAGCAGGGAACGAAAAAUGUUGGCAAGUGACAUUUAAAUCCUGACUUUUACUGUAAGACAGUUAUAACAAUCUAAACACACAUAUACAUUUGUAAUUUUAGUGAACAAGUACAACAGUCUUGUAGCACUUUUUAAAGUCUAAUCAGUUUAAUGCAACAGACUGUGGGUUACAAAAACUUACUUAAUAAUUGCUUAGUUUUUUAAGUGCCAGAACAGUCUUCAUAUUUCCUGUAAUUUUAAAUGAAUACAUUUUCUGAGAUUGUGAUAACUGAGUAAAUAUACAAUUCUUUUGUAGUUAGCAAGUAAAAUCUAUGAAGAAUGUGAAUUUAACCACUGAGAGGCAGUGUUGCCUUCCUGUAACAAAUACAUGGGAUUAUUUUUCUUUGAAGUAAUAGCAAUUUUAUAAUCCAUCCACUAACUUUUGGCAAAGCAGUUUAGAAAUAGUUUCCUAAUAUAUCCCUGCUUUUUAGAAGGAACAAUUUAUGUGAUUAUGUAUUAUUAUUUUGUAUUGACAAGGCUAAACAAAAUCUCUGUAUACCGUUAAAAAGAACUUAUGAUCAAAAUUCCCAUUACUGAUGCCCUGUUAUUGCAGUUUAUCAUCUCUUCGCAGUCUUUUCCAACCUGUGCUCAUUCUGGAUGGAAUGAGUAACAGGGCUUUGGUAAGCUUUAGUUCCCAGGCUAGGAAAAUCCCAUGAUACUUACAUUCCUAAAAUGUUCUUUGUCACUUCUGAACUAGAGCUUUGGAGAGUAUUCUAAAUUUUAUAUUAUCAUAAUGUACUACUGUGUUUCCCUGAAAGUAAGUGGGUCUUUUUUGGGGGAGGGCUCCAAAAGAGGCACCAGGUCUUAUUUUCGGGGGAUGUCUUACUCACCUCUGACACUGACAGCCUCGGCCAGCAGGUCCACUUCUUCUGCUGCUGAAGGAGCAGCUUCAUUCUGCAGCUGCAUUCUGGCCUGCAUUUUGCAGUCAGGCCUUUCCAGAGGUCUUGCAGAACUGAGCUAUGGAUUGAAUCCAUAGCUCGGUUCUCGGCUGCAGUGGCCUUCCGGAAAGGCCUGUGACUGAGAAAUGCAGGCCUGGCUGCAGAAGAUGUUGCAGAAAAAGUGAGCCAGAAAGGAGAGGCCUGGCUGCAAGUGCAGUUCUUCUAUUAGGAGUCUUGCAGCACACAUUGGAAAAGAAAUCCAGGGAGGCAGUAACGCUAUAGGGAGAUGAGAGAGAAUAGCCACUUUCAUUCUAUUCACCAUGACCCUUGGGGCUCAGUCAAUGAUAUUUCAAGGAUCACACUAUCAGAUGCAUAGCAGCUGGAGCAGGAACAGGAACAUUUGGAUCCUAGGCUACAGGAGGUCUGAAAGAAGACAAUAUUAUCCGCCUUUUCAGUAUGUUCAUAUUACGGAAUACAUAUAAUUACACGGUGUGAACAUUUCCAGCUUUUUCCUUAAUCUUAGGGAAAAUAUAUCUGUGUGAGCUAAGACUCAGCUCAGGACCCAUGAGGUUGCAGAUCUAGAAUAGCACCUCAGUUAUAAUAUGAACAGUUUUAAUAAAUAUAUAUUUAUUACCGAUAGUCCUCGUCUUAGAACCUUUCAUUUAGUGACUUUUCGAAAUUACAACAGCAUUGAAAAAAAGGGAUUUACAACUGAUUUCUCACAUUUACAACUGCUGCAGCAUCCCCGUAAUUGGGUGAUCCAGACUCAGGCGUUUGGCAACCACAUAUAUUUACAACAGUUGCAGCAUUCCACUUCCAACAAACUAAAUCAAUGGAAAAAUCCAGAUUCACUUAACGACUGCACGAUUCACUUAACAACUGCAAUGAUUCACUUAACAGA